CCUACGGGUGGCAGCAGUGGGGAAUAUUGGACAAUGGGGGGAACCCUGAUCCAGCCAUGCCGCGUGUGUGAAGAAGGCCCUCGGGUUGUAAAGCACUUUCAGUGAGGAAGAACGCCUGGUGGUUAAUACCCAUCAGGAAAGACAUCACUCACAGAAGAAGCACCGGCUAACUCCGUGCCAGCAGCCGCGGUAAUACGGAGGGUGCGAGCGUUAAUCGGAAUUACUGGGCGUAAAGCGCGCGUAGGUGGCUUGAUAAGCCGGUUGUGAAAGCCCCGGGCUCAACCUGGGAACGGCAUCCGGAACUGUCAAGCUAGAGUGCAGGAGAGGAAGGUAGAAUUCCCGGUGUAGCGGUGAAAUGCGUAGAGAUCGGGAGGAAUACCAGUGGCGAAGGCGGCCUUCUGGACUGACACUGACAUUGAGGUGCGAAAGCGUGGGUAGCAAACAGGAUUAGAUACCCGUGUAGUC
rnacentral:rRNA from 1 species